UACGUAGGGUGCAAGCGUUGUCCGGAAUUAUUGGGCGUAAAGAGCUCGUAGGCGGUCUGUCGCGUCUGGUGUGAAAACUCAAGGCUUAACCUUGGGCCUGCAUCGGGUACGGGCAGACUAGAGUGCGGUAGGGGAGACUGGAAUUCCUGGUGUAGCGGUGAAAUGCGCAGAUAUCAGGAAGAACACCUAUGGCGAAGGCAGCUCUCUGGGACGGUACUGACGCUGAGACGCGAAAGCGUGGGGAGCGAACAGG
rnacentral:rRNA from 1 species